AUUCCAGCUCCAAUAGCGUAUAUUAAAGUUGUUGCAGUUAAAAAGCUCGUAGUUGGAUUUCUGGUGGGAGCACGGGUCGGCCUUCACGGGUUGUACUGUUGUUGCGUCCCGCCGUUUCGGAGGGAAUGGUCUCGCUAUUAAGUUAGCGUGAUCGGGAACUCUGUCGUUUACUGUGAAAAAAUUAGAGUGUUCAAAGCAGGCCUUCGCUGUGAAUACAUUAGCAUGGAAUAAUAAGAUAGGACUGUAGUGCUAUUUUGUUGGUUUGCGUACUAUGGUAAUGAUUAAUAGGGAUAGUUGGGGGUAUUCAUAUUCAAUUGUCAGAGGUGAAAUUCUUGGAUUUAUGGAAGAUGAACUACUGCGAAAGCAUUUACCAAGGAUGUUUUCAUCA
rnacentral:rRNA from 1 species